ensembl:lncRNA
AUGAUGGCUACGCUCCUGAUGUGUGGGUCUGUAUGGACAUGUUUUGUACAUACAAAAUCAGCUUCUCCUAAAAUGGAAAUUGCAGUGUUGAGGAGUGGCUUGAUAGGUUUCUGUGUACCGUUUCAGAUUUUUAGUUUCUCAUUCAGAGUCUUCGGUUUAGACUCAUCCCAUCCGUGCCUGGGCUCUGUAUUUUUAGUGUCUUAUUCAGAGUCUUCGGGUAGGACUCAUCCCAUCCGUGCCUGGGCUCUGUGUAAGUUCACCAUUUUACUCUCUUCCUAUAUUUAGAUACUUUUCAGAGCUGUUUGCGCUGAGGUAAUUGGAGUAUAAUCCAUGCAAAAGCAUGAUAAUAUUAUUAUAGUGUUUUUAAUCUAAUAAUAAUAAUAAUAAUAAUAAUAAUAAUAAUACAUUUACCAUUAGCAUGAAGAGAUGCCUGUGUUUAUAAUAAAUACUUCUCAGAAAAGAUGAUUGGCUUUUCC